UGCAGGGUGUGGAGACUUCCAGGCAGGGAUGGCACGUCCCAGGGAUGGAGAAAUUGUACCUUCUCUCCUACCAAGUGAUUUUCAACUGAGUUUCAAACUAGCUGCACCCAUGACAAAAUCAAGCUGACAAUCAUUACUACAGAGAAAUGUGGGCUCCGUAAUGACAGAACUGCAUACUGGCAAUGUGCAAAGCCCUGGGUUUCACUCACAUUUCUGAGAAGACACAACUGAUACAUCCAUCCCUCACCACUACCUGAAGACCAGAAAGGCAUUUGUCCUGCUCGAAUUCAAAAGACGACGUUUUCAGGACUCCAGUUAAAAGAAAAUUCAGCCACGCUACUCUCUUCCUUCCUAGAUAUUACUAUUAUUUUUUUCAGCACUUGGUUAAAAGAUUUUGAUGUGCCCUACAAAAUCAGCUGCAGUCAGUUGCAGAGAUGAAGCAAGCUUACUUCUUUCCAGUCUGUACUGCUGCACAUUUUGAGCAGGUAAUUUGGGAAACCACAUUCCAACGGGAGCCCUGUGCUGACCAACUCGGAGAAUUGCACGUUACAGUGAGAGACCUUCAGUUACAAUAAAGAUGACUUAACUACUGCUCCA
rnacentral:lncRNA from 1 species